UCAAACCCGUCUUUAAAACCCAAAAAACUUUCAGAAUAACACCGUUUUCUUUUGCAAAAAAUUUUUUUGGUAGGGCUAAAGGAAUGGGGAGAUUAGACUGUACUAAAGAUACACUAUAUUGGUGACUCGUCAGACUCAUGCAUUAUCUAAAACACUUAUACCAGAAACAAAAUGAAACGAAGUAAACAACUAAAAAGCAAUAAAAAUAAACAAACUAACUAAAAACAACAAAG
rnacentral:lncRNA from 1 species